GCUAGCCAUGCGAGUCGAGAGGGUUCGGCCCUCGGCUGACGGCUCAGUAACACGUGGAUAAUCUGCCCUUAGGUGGAGGAUAAUCUCGGGAAACUGAGGAUAAUACUCCAUAGAUCUAGGAUGCUGGAAUGCACCUAGAUUGAAAGCUCCGGCGCCUAAGGAUGAGUCUGCGGACUAUCAGGUUGUAGUCAGGGUAAAGACCUGACUAGCCUACGACGGAUACGGGUUGUGAGAGCAAUAACCCGGAGACGAUAUCUGAGACACGAUAUCGGGCCCUACGGGGCGCAGCAGGCGCGAAAACUUCACACUGUGCGAAAGCGCGAUGAGGGAAUCCCAUGUGCUUGCUCGUAAGAGUAAGCUGUUUCUUUGUCUAAAACGCAGAGAGAGUAAGGGCUGGGUAAGACGGGUGCCAGCCGCCGCGGUAAUACCUGCAGCUCAAGUGGUGAUCAUUAUUAUUGGGCCUAAAACGUCCGUAGCCGGUUUAGUAAAUGCCUGGGUAAAUCGUGUAGCUUAACUAUACGAAUUCUGGGUAGACUGCUAAACUUGAGACCGGGAGAGGCUAGAGGUACUCCUGGGGUAGAGGUGAAAUUCUGUAAUCCUAGGGGGACCACCAGUGGCGAAGGCGUCUAGCUAGAACGGGUCUGACGGUGAGGGACGAAGCCCUGGGGCGCAAACCGGAUUAGAUACCCGGGUAGUCCAGGGUGUAAACGCUGCUUGCUUGAUGUUAGUUGGGCUCCGAGCCCAACUAGUGUCGGAGAGAAGUUGUUAAGCAAGCUGCCUGGGAAGUACGGUCGCAAGGCUGAAACUUAAAGGAAUUGGCGGGGAGCACA
rnacentral:rRNA from 1 species